ACUCCUACGGGAGGCAGCAGUAGGGAAUCUUCCACAAUGGACGAAAGUCUGAUGGAGCAACGCCGCGUGAACGAUGAAGGCUUUCGGGUCGGUAAAGUUCUGUUGUAAGGGAAGAACAAGUGCCGCAGGCAAUGGCGGCACCUUGACGGUACCUUGCGAGAAAGCCACGGCUAACUACGUGCCAGCAGCCGCGGUAAUACGUAGGUGGCAAGCGUUGUCCGGAAUUAUUGGGCGUAAAGCGCGCGCAGGCGGCCUCUUAAGUCUGAUGUGAAAGCCCCGGCUCAACCGGGGGAGGGCCAUUGGAAACUGGGAGGCUUGAGUAUAGGAGAGAAGAGUGGAAUUCCACGUGUAGCGGUGAAAUGCGUAGAGAUGUGGAGGAACACCAGUGGCGAAGGCGACUCUUUGGCCUAUAACUGACGCUGAGGCGCGAAAGCGU
rnacentral:rRNA from 1 species